rnacentral:tRNA from 1 species
GGGGUUGUGGCUCAGGGGUAGAGUGCUUGCCAAGCAUGCAUGAGGCACUGGGUUCAAUCCUCAGCACCACA